UACGGGGGGGGUAAGCGUUGUUCGGAAUUACUGGGCGUAAAGCGCGCGCAGGCGGUUUUUCAAGUCAGUGGUGAAAGCCCGGAGCUCAACUCCGGAAAUGCCAUUGAAACUGUAAAACUUGAGGACGAGAGAGGUGAGUGGAAUUCCCAGUGUAGAGGUGAAAUUCGUAGAUAUUGGGAAGAACACCGGUGGCGAAGGCGGCUCACUGGCUCGUUUCUGACGCUCAGGCGCGAUAGCGUGGGGAUCAAACAGG
rnacentral:rRNA from 1 species